rnacentral:misc_RNA from 1 species
GCUACUACCGAUUGAAUGGUUUAGUGAGGACUCCUGAUUGGCGCCGCCGCCCCGGCAACGGAGCAGCGGACUGCCGAAAAGUUGUUCAAACUUGAUCAUUUAGAGGAAGUAAAAGUCGUAACAAGGUUUCUGUAGGUGAACCUGCAGAAGGAUCAUUGACCCUUCUGCAGGUUCACCGACGGCAACCAUGUUACGACUUCAUCUUGCUCUAAGUGUAAAGGUUUAAUCCACUUCCCACGGCUGCAUUAGGUUUGACCCCAACGCGUCAUAGUCCGGAGAUAGUAACUAAACAUUGAAACGGGAGAUGCGACGGGCGGUGUGUACAUUGCUGA